rnacentral:lncRNA from 1 species
AACCAAUGAUUUCGUUCUUUUGAAGUCUUAAUUAAUCAAGUUAUCACACGACUGUCUAGUUCCGAGAGUCUCUUGGGAAACAAUACCCUGUCUUACCAGGAUUAUUACUUGCUACGAUCCGGUACACUUGCCGGUUACCUAAUAAGUUUUUGGCGCCGUUGUCGGGGACUCACGAUUUAAACUAUUCUAUUUUUGUGAUUCUUGAUUAAUUUUGACUUUGUUAUUUUUAUUAUAUUUAUUUUUUAAUUUAUCUUGCGUUUUAUUUUGUUUAUUUUUUUUUUGUGCUAAUAGUUUGCUUUCUAGAGUUUUGUUUUCUUGUGUAUGCAGGAUACAAUUCACACUAGAAGUAGGAAAAUUUCUAACCUUUCUUUACAGAUAAGGAAAUAGAAGACAUGGUGGGCAAUCAGAAUAUGGGUCCAGUGAGACGAACUUUGGAAGAUUACGCAACAGUCAUUAGUCCUUUGUAUUUUAACAGUAUUGUCAGGCCAAUGGUAAAUGCUACCAACAUGCAGAUGAAGC